AUAGUUAAGAGAAUCGACCGAACUCCCUUGAAUGCAGAUGACUUAUAUAUAUCCAGGGUGCUUUCUGUGGCUCUUUAAUUCCUGGGUGGAUUUGUUUAACUAGGGCUGAGGUGGAUUUGAUCUUGUCUUUGUAGGGGGCAACAGGAGUCCAGGAGUCUGACAGCGCUGGUGGGGAAGUCAUAGUUCAGCACGAGAUUGACUCCUUUGAAGUCGAUUCCUCUGGCGAGCAGAGCCGUGCAGAUCAACACCCAAAUCUUCCCAGAGCGAAAACUGUUCACUACAUUGUCCCUCUGAAAUCA